CCUACGGGGGGCAGCAGUGAGGAAUAUUGGUCAAUGGACGAGAGUCUGAACCAGCCAAGUAGCGUGAAGGAUGACUGCCCUAUGGGUUGUAAACUUCUUUUAUAUGGGAAUAAAAUGUUCCACGUGUGGGAUUUUGUAUGUACCAUAUGAAUAAGGAUCGGCUAACUCCGUGCCAGCAGCCGCGGUAAUACGGAGGAUCCGAGCGUUAUCCGGAUUUAUUGGGUUUAAAGGGAGCGUAGGUGGAUUGUUAAGUCAGUUGUGAAAGUUUGCGGCUCAACCGUAAAAUUGCAGUUGAAACUGGCAGUCUUGAGUACAGUAGAGGUGGGCAGAAUUCGUGGUGUAGCGGUGAAAUGCUUAGAGAUCACGAAGAACUCCGAUUGCGAAGGCAGUUCACUGGACUGCAACUGACACUGAGGCUCGAAAGUGUGGGUAUCAAACAGGAUUAGAUACCCGAGUAGUC
rnacentral:rRNA from 1 species